rnacentral:rRNA from 1 species
CCUACGGGAGACUGCCGUAGGGAAUAUUGCUCAAUGGGGGCAACCCUGAUGCAGCAACGCCGCGUGGGGGAUGAAGGUUUUCGGAUUGUAAACUCCUUUUGUUAGAGAAGAUAAUGACGGUAUCUAACGAAUAAGCACCGGCUAAUUCCGUGCCAGCAGCCGCGGUAAGACGGAGGGUUCAAGCGUUACUCGGAAUCACUGGGCGUAACGCGGGCGUAGGCGGGAUGUCAAGUCAGAUGUGAAAUCCUAGGGCUUAACCAUAGAACUGCAUUUGAAACUGGUAUUCUAGAGUAUGGGAGAGGUAGGUGGAAUUCUUGGUGUAGGGGUAAAAUCCGUAGAGAUCAAGAGGAAUACUCAUGGCGAAGGCGACCUGCUAGAACAUAACUGACGCUGAUGCGCGAAAGCGUGGGGAGCAAACAGGAUUAGAUACCCUAGGAGUC